GUGAGGAAUUUUCCGCAAUGGGCGAAAGCCUGACGGAGCAAUGCCGCGUGAAGGAUGAAGGCCUAUGGGUUGUAAACUUCUUUUCUCAGAAAAGAAUUAUGACGGUAUCUGAGGAAUAAGCAUCGGCUAACUCUGUGCCAGCAGCCGCGGUAAGACAGAGGAUGCAAGCGUUAUCCGGAAUGAUUGGGCGUAAAGCGUCUGUAGGUUGUUUAAAAAGUAUUCUGUCAAAGAUUAGGGCUUAACCCUAGAUAGGCAGAAUAAACUUUUAAGCUAUAGUUUGGUAGAGGCAGAGGGAAUUCCCGGUGGAGCGGUGAAAUGCGUAGAUAUCGGGAGGAACACCAAAGGCGAAGGCACUCUGCUGGGCCAAUACUAACACUGAGAGACGAAAGCGAGGGGAGCAAAUGGGAUUAGAAACCCGUGUAGUCC
rnacentral:rRNA from 1 species